AUAACACUUUCAAGUCUAUAGUAGCUCCUUCUGGAUGCUACCCAGAAGGGGAAGAAGAAAAAAGACAAGCAGGAGUUUAUUGCCACAAUGCUUCUCAUACAAGACUUUCCAAAUUGUAUCCAAGUCAGCCACUCUACUGGCCCCUGCAUAAAAUACGUCCUGAUAACAGGAAGUGGUUACCCUGUGAUUUUGAAAAAAAAAAACAACUGUUUGA